CCCGCAACGAGCGUUAACCCUAAUCCUUUGUUGCCAGCGAUUCGGUCGGGAACUCAAAGGAUACUGCCGGUGAUUAACCGGAUGAAGGUGUUUGCUGACGUCUAGUCAUCAUGGCCCUUACGGCCAGGGCUACACUUUUGCUACUAUGGUGCAUACCAGAGAAGCGUCCUCGCGAGACCAAGCGGACCUCAUAAUGUGCGUCGUAGUCCGGAUCGGAGUCUGCAACUCGACUCCCUGAAGUCGGUAUCUUUUUUUUAUCGUACAUCAGAUUGCUACUGUGAAU
rnacentral:rRNA from 1 species